GAUUAGUAGGUUCAACAGGAUUAUGUUGUGUUCCAGAAUAAAUUUACAUUGAUCUUGAGGAUGGACCUAAAUAUUAGUGGGACAUUGAUUAAUUCAUUUUUAAAGCUGUUCAGAAAUCUAAUUGGUUAAAAUAUUUUUUGCAGGAGAUCCUUUGAAGAAGAAGUUGUGGUGUAAUACCUGUAACUUAAUCAUCAUCAUUAACUGAAUUUGAAGACUCUGUACUUGAAUCAUUUAAAGGAUUAGUGUCAGGGUCAUGCAUUGUGGGCUUUUGUUAUUGUUUACAUAUUACUCAAUACAUCAAAUAGUGAUAAAAAUACUUGUUUGGUACAUUUCUCAUAAAAAUCAGACAAAAAGAGCAAGGAUUUAUUUAUAAAAGGAUGGUUUAAAUAUAUGAUGGAUUGUAAACACUUUCCAGAUGACCUAAUCUAUUCGUCCCGAAAAAUGGCCGCCGGCAUGAGUUUGAGCCCGCAAAUUCUUAAAGGAAUGUUGAUGGUCACAGUGGUAGUACUAGUUGAUGGAACUGAACCAUAAACCUCCGACUAUAAGCCUUGGGCUUAUAUUAUUUUGUAAGCGAUUUUUGAUGGGAUUAUACAAGGGGGGGGCUUAUACAUGGAUGAUUUUUUGUGUUAGUGUAAUAGUAAUAAACAUAGUAAUAGUGAUAAAUAGUGGUAAUUAAGUGAUAAACAAUAGUGAUAAACAGGUGGGCUUAUAUUCAGGGGGGGCUUAUAUUUGGAAUGAGGUGAGCAUUAGUACACAGGGGGGGGGCAUAUAUUCGGAGGGCUUAUAUUCGGAGGUUUACAGUAUGGGUGCUCAGCCCAGAGUCUGAAAAUAAUAUUUAUAUACCUUUUAUUUAAUAACAUCACUGUAAAUGCAAGUAUUUUGUUUACAUUCGCAGCCUUUCAUACAUAUACCACAUAGGCGACAGAGCUAAAUGUACAUGUCACAAAAACUAUAUAUUCAUACACAUUAAAUACACAUUUGUAUGGAACACAUAAUUUUUUAGUAGUUCAAAAUAUAAAAGACAAAUUUCACAACAAAACAGAUUAAUAGGCAUUUAGUUUUCGUUAAUAUAUUUUACUAUAAUACUAUUUAGUACGUAAUUGUACCUAAACUUUUAUAUGAUUACACAGGAUUGAAAAAUAAUAUGAUACUACUGUAUAUUAAAUAUUAGACUCUCUACAUUAAAUUCUAAAAACUCAUUUUGUUUUACUGUAUAUUGAAGAAAACCAAACAUCCAACCUUUCCCAUAUAGUUGUCCAUUUAGAAUGUUGUAAAGUCAUUUGUUUUUAAACAUUUACAUGUAAAAACACAAUUCCUCUUCGUGGUAACUUCGUAACUGGAACAUAAACAUGUUUGAUAUAAAUUGAUUUGUAGUGGCUAAAAUCUCCGCAGUUUAUGUUCUUCGCGUCUGCAGGAACCGGCGUUAAACU